rnacentral:lncRNA from 1 species
UUGGAUAUAUUAAAUGGGCAAAUGAGUGAUCCUGGGUCAAUUGAAAAUUUGGAUUUGGGAUUUGCUGAGGACAUUGAAGGGUGAGAGAGAAACAGGGUUCAGGUGAAAUAUCAUCCCCUAGCUUCUUUAAGUAACCUGUCUAUGGAGACUAGAGUUGAAGAAUUCUUACAAUUACUCUCUGUCCAAGAAUUCAAAAUCAAUGGUCAACAUGGGCAAUACAUAAUGUGAGCAUGUGCACAUAUUGAACCUUAGGAUUGCUCAUUGGCAUACUGACCAAUAAUAGACAACUCAUCACAGAUUCACAAGCAGUGCAGUGAAAAGUACCAGUUGGACUCAAUAUAAUCGAAUAAAUUGCUGCAAAUAAGUCUCUUUGAUUAGAGAACAUAAAUUUGUUUGUCAGCUGAGUGCUACUUAAUGGCUAAUCUGAGAGUCUCUACAGUAGAAAUGCAAAGCAUUUACUCCCUCAUAAUCUGGUUCUGGUUAUGUAAAAAUUGCUAAUCAAUAAUGCUUACUUGUUUG